UACGUAGGGUGCGAGCGUUGUCCGGAAUUACUGGGCGUAAAGAGCUCGUAGGUGGUUUGUCGCGUUGUCCGUGAAAACUCACAACUCAAUUGUGGGCGUGCGGGCGAUACGGGCAGACUGGAGUACUGCAGGGGAGACUGGAAUUCCUGGUGUAGCGGUGGAAUGCGCAGAUAUCAGGAGGAACACCGGUGGCGAAGGCGGGUCUCUGGGCGUGAUGACGCUGAGAGCGACGAAGCGUG
rnacentral:rRNA from 1 species